CUUUUGAAAUCCGUGAGUUCUAUAAAAAGUCCCUGACCAACCAAAAAAUUCCCUGACAUUUCCCUGACUAUUCCCUGACAUACAAAAUUCCCUGACAUUUCCCGGUUUUCCCGGUUUUCCAGACGGGUGGCCACCCUGAUGGGGAAGAGAU
rnacentral:lncRNA from 1 species